rnacentral:lncRNA from 1 species
UUUUAGUUUGUAACUUGGUAGACUACGUUGUUAAUAGACUAUAUGAUAGAUUCAUAAGAUUAAUCAGGAAAAUUCGUCAAUCCAUAUAAUAAUGUAAUAUUCAAAGUUGUCAAAAUAAGUAGAUAUGAAAUCUCAUAUUUCUUUAGCAAUUAUAUGCUAGGUGAUCUAGAAUUUCUACUCCCUUCCUUUGCCAAAUCUGACAAACUUGCAUGCUAGUUCGUUGUUAUAUUAUCGUCCAAAUUAAGAAAAGGGUCAUUUAUGUUCAAACUAUAACCCUCGGUUUAGGAUUUGGAUUUUUUAUCUUAAAUUUUGAUGUCAAACGAGAAAUAAAAAUCAACUUUUUAGACCAAAAAAAAAAUCAAUCCAACAAAAACUAAAGAAAUCAGCAUAAGCGGACAAAAAGACCAAAUGACGGAG